GACGAACGCUGGCGGCGUGCUUAACACAUGCAAGUCGAACGGAAAGGCCCUGCUUGCAGGGUACUCGAGUGGCGAACGGGUGAGUAACACGUGGGUGAUCUGCCCUGCACUUCGGGAUAAGCCUGGGAAACUGGGUCGAAUACCGGAUAGGUGCCAUUUUUAGUGUGAUGGUUGGAAAGUUUUUUCGGUGUAGGAUGAGCCCGCUGCCUAUCAGCUUGCUGGUGGGGUAAUGGCCUACCAUGGCGGCGACGGGUAGCCGGCCUGAGAGGGGGGACGGCCACAUUGGGACUAAGGGACGGACCAGACGCCAACGGGAGGCAAAAGUGGGGAAUAUUACACAAUAAGCGCGAGCCUGAUGCAGCGACGCCGCGUGGGGGAUGACGGCCUUCGGGUUGUAAACUCCUUUCGCUAGAGACGAGGCUUUUUGUGACGGUACCAAGAUAAGAAGCACCGGCUAACUACGU
rnacentral:rRNA from 1 species